rnacentral:rRNA from 1 species
GGAAUCUUCCACAAUGGGCGCAAGCCUGAUGGAGCGACGCCGCGUGAGUGAAGAAGGGUUUCGACUCGUAAAGCUCUUUUCUUGCAGACGAAUUGGUUUUUAGAGGCAGUUGACGGUAUGCGAGGAAUAAGCCACGGCUAACUACGUGCCAGCAGCCGCGGUAAUACGUAGGUGGCAAGCGUUAUCCGGAUUUAUUGGGCGUAAAGCGAGCGCAGGCGGUUUGAUAAGUCUGAUGUGAAAGCCUUUGGCUUAACCAAAGAAGUGCAUCGGAAACUGUCAGACUUGAGUGCAGAAGAGGACAGUGGAACUCCAUGUGUAGCGGUGGAAUGCGUAGAUAUAUGGAAGAACACCAGUGGCGAAGGCGGCUGUCUGGUCUGCAACUGACGCUGAGGCUCGAAAGCAUGGGUAGCGAACA